rnacentral:misc_RNA from 1 species
GUGAAUCAUCGAAUCUUUGAACGCACCUUGCGCUCCUUGGUAUUCCGAGGAGCAUGCCUGUUUGAGUGUCAUUACAUUCUCAACUAUACAAGUUUUCACAACGUGUAUGGCUUGGAUCUUGGGAUUUGCGGGCUUUCACAAGUCGGCUAUCCUUAAAUGCAUUAGCAGAGCUUUUGCCGCUAACCUCUGGUGUGAUAAUUAUCUACGCCGUUGUGUUACGCGACAUACUGAGGCUUCGCUUAUAAUCGUCCGCAAGGACAAUAUUUGACAAUCUGACCUCAAAUCAGGUAGGACUACCCG